rnacentral:tRNA from 1 species
GACGAGGUGGCCGAGUGGUUAAGGCGAUGGACUGCUAAUGCAUUGGGCGCUGCCCACGUGGGCUCGAAUCCCAUCCUCGUCG